rnacentral:pre_miRNA from 1 species
GGAAAGCCGAUCUUCAUCUCCUCUUUAAGUACAAGUCAUCUAUCUUCUCAUUUCUAAAGAUACUUACGUUUGGAAGUUUUGUUGGUUUUUUCUCGAUGUAAAAAUUUUCGAAAUGAGAAGAGAGACGACUUGUAUUUAAAGAGGAGACGAAGAGCUGCUUUCC